UACGUAGGGUGCAAGCGUUGUCCGGAAUUAUUGGGCGUAAAGAGCUCGUAGGCGGUUUGUUGCGUCGGCUGUGAAAUCCCGAGGCUCAACCUCGGGCCUGCAGUGGGUACGGGCAGACUGGAGUGCGGUAGGGGAGAAUGGAAUUCCUGGUGUAGCGGUGGAAUGCGCAGAUAUCAGGAGGAACACCGAUGGCGAAGGCAGUUCUCUGGGCCGUAACUGACGCUGAGGAGCGAAAGCGUGGGGAGCGAACAGG
rnacentral:rRNA from 1 species